rnacentral:rRNA from 1 species
UACGUAGGGUCCGAGCGUUGUCCGGAAUUAUUGGGCGUAAAGCGCGCGUAGGCGGUUACUUAAGUCGGAUGUGAAAGCCCUCGGCUUAACUGAGGAAGUGCACCCGAAACUGAGUAGCUGGAGUACGAAAGAGGGUCGCGGAAUUCCCGGUGUAGAGGUGAAAUUCGUAGAUAUCGGGAGGAACACCGGUGGCGAAGGCGGCGACCUGGGUCGAGACUGACGCUGAGGCGCGAAAGCGUGGGGAGCAAACAGG